rnacentral:snRNA from 1 species
AUACUUAACCUGGCAGGGGAGAUACCACCAUCAAGAAGGUGGUUUUCCCAGGCUGAGGCUCAUUCCUUGCACUCUGAAUGUGCUGACUGACCCCUGUGACUUCCACAAAUGCGGGAAACUCGACUGCAUAAUUUGUGGUAGUGGUUCACUGAUUUCACGUUCUUCCCU